GGGAGAUAUAAAAACAAGGGAGAUAUAAAAACGAGGGAGAUAUAAAAACAAGGGAGAUAUAAAAACAAGGGAGAUAUAAAAACAAGGGAGAUAUAAACAGGGGAGAUAUAUGGAGAAAGAAGAAACAGGACUGAAUAAAUGUGUGCAGAAGGAUCCUGUAGCAGCGUCGUUCUUGCUGGCGAGUUGGGGGCGCGCUCGAGAGUUGGUGCUGAGACCCGGGACGGGACGAGAAGACCUAGGACGAGAAGACCUGGGACGAGAAAACCUGGGACAAGAAACAUCUUCAGGCAUGAGCGAAGACCCCCUGCUACAGGGAGGAUUCAGAACUGCAUCACUGGGAAGGAGCCGUUAAUAAAGUGUUCCCGUAAAACAGACUGUUGAGAAGGAUCUGGCGUGGAUUCAGAACUCUUCAGCUGGGGAACGGUACUGAUGAAGAGAAAGAAGAGAGAUGAGGACUGAAUAAACUGCUGUUAGAAGGACUGGUGGUCGCAUCGUUCUUGCUGGUCGAGAGCGGGCGCGACAAUUGGUGGCCCGUACGGGGAACCGACUCCCCCACCGAGUUCAGAACUUUCAGCAGUCAGUGGUUGCAGGCAGGGUAAGUUCACGGACCAGACGGAACCUCUUUGGGUGCCGGAGAGAUUGGUGAGACGCUACAAGAAUGAGGCUCCUGAUCCAGUUGCCCCUGUGGAUGUGGUGGAUGAUCCCACAAGCACAAAGGAUGGAGCCGAGAUGAGAGAUCCUUUCGGUAUUCCAGAAGCCGAUACCAGCUCGACAUGAUAUUCAAAUUUUUCCACGCUUUUUGAUCCCUGAAUUUCCCUUAAAGAGAUAGCCCCUCUGGCUAUCUAUCCCUUGCUUCAGGGAAGAUGAGCGGGGAUGAGAGCCCUGGGAUGUAUGCUUGUUAUAGUGUGUGUGUGUUUUGUGUUUGGCACAUGUGUUAGGUGCAGAGUGUGCGGCCCGCACUUUCGCCAUGGUAGCGUAGGCUUUUGCUGCAGUGGAGGCGGGACAAUCUCCUCAGAUUCGGUUUGCCGCUCUAAAAGAAAUUAUGCUGCGUUAUGCCGUGGGGUGCGAGGCUAAGCACUGCACAGAGGAUAGCUUGCUGUUGGCAUCUUGUGGAAGGCACGUCUGAUUGCAUGAAGGUUCAGUGUCCUAGUUCCCUUCCCCCAGGAAAAACGACACAGGAGCUGGCCAAGACCUCUCUGGGUGAUGAGCCUA
rnacentral:lncRNA from 1 species